rnacentral:rRNA from 1 species
GUUUGAUCCUGGCUCAGAGCGAACGUUAGCGGCGCGCCUAACACAUGCAAGUCGCACGAGAAAGGGGGCAACCCCGGUACAGUGGCGCACGGGUGAGUAACACGUGGGUGAUCUGCCCAGAAGAAGGGGAUAACCUCUCGAAAGGGGGGCUAAUACCGCAUAGGACCACCGGGGCUUUGGCUCUGUGGUGAAGGGGGCCUCUGUUUACAAGCUCCUGCUUCUGGAUGAGCCCGCGUCCCAUCAGCUAGUUGGUAGGGUAAUGGCCUACCAAGGCUACGACGGGUAGCUGGUCUAAGAGGAUGGCCAGCCACACUGGAACUGAGACACGGUCCAGACUCCUACGGGAGGCAGCAGUGGGGAAUCUUGCGCAAUGGGCGAAAGCCUGACGCAGCGACGCCGCGUGGGUGACGAAGGCC